rnacentral:rRNA from 1 species
UACAGAGGGGGCAAGCGUUAUUCGGAAUUAUUGGGCGUAAAGGGCGCGUAGGCGGUUUUUUAAGUCGGAUGUGCAAUCCCUGGGCUCAACCCAGGAACUGCAUCCGAGACUGGAAGGCUAGAGUACUGGAGAGGGUGGUGGAAUUCCUCGUGUAGCGGUGAAAUGCGUAGAGAUGAGGAGGAACACCAGUGGCGAAGGCGGCCACCUGGACCAGCACUGACACUGAGGCACGAAAGCGUGGGGAGCAAACAGG